rnacentral:rRNA from 1 species
AGUUCGGAUUGCAGCCUGCAACUCGGCUGCAUGAAGCCGGAAUCGCUAGUAAUCGCGGAUCAGAAUGCCGCGGUGAAUACGUUCCCGGGUCUUGUACACACCGCCCGUCACACCAUGGGAGUCGGGAAUGCCCGAAGUCGGUGAGCUAACGAAAGAGGCAGCCGCCGAAGGCAGGCCCGGUAACUGGGGUGAAGUCGUAACAAGGUAGC